UAAGUGAUUAAGCGUACAAGGUGGAUGCCUUGGCAAUCAGAGGCGAAGAAGGACGUGCUAAUCUGCGAAAAGCUUGGAUGAGUCGAUAAGAGGCGUUUAAUCCAAGAUAUCCGAAUGGGGAAACCCAGUAGAUGAAGAAUCUACUAUCAACAAGUGAAUUCAUAGCUUGUUGAGGCAAACCGGGAGAACUGAAACAUCUAAGUACCCCGAGGAAAAGAAAUCAACCGAGAUUUCGUCAGUAGCGGCGAGCGAAAGCGAAAGAGCCAGUAAGUGAUAGCAGUAUAGUGAGGAGAAUGUGUUGGGAAGCACAAUCAAAGAGGGUGAUAAUCCCGUAUCUAAAAACCAUAUUGUGGUACUAAGCUAACGAGAAGUAGGGCGGGACACGUGAUAUCCUGUUUGAAGAAGGGGGGACCAUCCUCCAAGGCUAAAUACUCCUGAUUGACCGAUAGUGAACCAGUACUGUGAAGGAAAGGCGAAAAGAACCCCGGUGAGGGGAGUGAAAUAGAACCUGAAACCUUGUACGUACAAGCAGUGGGAGCCCCAUCACUUAAUCCGAUUGGAAGGUGAUGAAAAGCAACCGCACUUAAACAAUGGUAAGAGGAGCGAAGCGAGUCAAACCACCCAAAAGAAGCAGUGGGAUUAAGUGAUGGGGUGACUGCGUACCUUUUGUAUAAUGGGUCAGCGACUUAUAUUUUGUAGCGAGGUUAACCGAAUAGGGGAGCCGAAGGGAAACCGAGUCUUAACUGGGCGAAUAGUUGCAAGGUAUAGACCCGAAACCCGGUGAUCUAGCCAUGGGCAGGUUGAAGGUUGGGUAACACUAACUGGAGGACCGAACCGACUAAUGUUGAAAAAUUAGCGGAUGACUUGUGGCUGGGGGUGAAAGGCCAAUCAAACCGGGAGAUAGCUGGUUCUCCCCGAAAUCUAUUUAGGUAGAGCCUUGAGGUGACACCUUUGGGGGUAGAGCACUGUUUCGGCUAGGGGCCAUCCCGGCUUACCAACCCGAUGCAAACUACGAAUACCAAAGAGUGAUACUCAGGAGACACACGGCGGGUGCUAACGUCCGUCGUGGAGAGGGAAACAACCCAGACCGCCAGCUAAGGUCCCCAAGUCUAUAUUAAGUGGGAAACGAAGUGGGAAGGCUUAGACAGCUAGGAUGUUGGCUUAGAAGCAGCCAUCAUUUAAAGAAAGCGUAAUAGCUCACUAGUCGAGUCGGCCUGCGCGGAAGAUGUAACGGGGCUGAAAUAUAGCACCGAAGCUGCGGCAUCAGAAUUUAUUCUGUUGGGUAGGGGAGCGUUGUGUAAGCGGAAGAAGGUUCAUCGAGAGGUGGGCUGGACGUAUCACAAGUGCGAAUGCUGACAUAAGUAACGAUAAAACGGGUGAAAAACCCGUUCGCCGGAAGACCAAGGGUUCCUGUCCAACGUUAAUCGGGGCAGGGUGAGUCGGCUCCUAAGGCGAGGCUGAAAAGCGUAGUCGAUGGGAAACAGGUUAAUAUUCCUGUACUUGGUAAAGCUGCGAUGUGGGGACGGAGUAGGUUAGGUUAUCGCACUGUUGGAUAUGUGCGUUUAAGUUGGUAGGUGGGAAGUUUAGGCAAAUCCGGGCUUCCUUAACACAGAGAGAUGAUGACGAGGCUCUACGGAGCUGAAGUAACUGAUACCACACUUCCAGGAAAAGCCACUAAGCGAAAGGCUUUACUAAACCGUACUGAAAACCGACACAGGUGGUCAGGUAGAGAAUACUCAGGCGCUUGAGAGAACUCGGGUGAAGGAACUAGGCAAAAUAGCACCGUAACUUCGGGAGAAGGUGCGCCGGCGUAGAUUGUAAGGGCUAGCCCCUGAAGGUUGAACCGGUCGAAGAUACCAGCUGGCUGCAACUGUUUAUUAAAAACACAGCACUCUGCAAACACGAAAGUGGACGUAUAGGGUGUGAUGCCUGCCCGGUGCUGGAAGGUUAAUUGAUGGUGUAAUCGCAAGAGAAGCACCUGAUCGAAGCCCCAGUAAACGGCGGCCGUAACUAUAACGGUCCUAAGGUAGCGAAAUUCCUUGUCGGGUAAGUUCCGACCUGCACGAAUGGCAUAAUGAUGGCCAGGCUGUCUCCACCCGAGACUCAGUGAAAUUGAAAUCGCCGUGAAGAUGCGGUGUACCCGCGGCUAGACGGAAAGACCCCGUGAACCUUUACUAUAGCUUGACACUGAACAUUGAAUUUUGAUGUGUAGGAUAGGUGGGAGCCUUUGAAGCAGUGACGCCAGUCAUUGUGGAGGCGACCUUGAAAUACCACCCUUUAACGUUUGAUGUUCUAACGAAGAUGACGAAACGUGGUCUCGGACAGUGUCUGGUGGGUAGUUUGACUGGGGCGGUCUCCUCCCAAAGCGUAACGGAGGAGCACGAAGGUUUGCUAAUCACGGUCGGACAUCGUGAGGUUAGUGCAAUGGUAUAAGCAAGCUUAACUGCGAGACAGACAAGUCGAGCAGGUACGAAAGUAGGUCAUAGUGAUCCGGUGGUUCUGAAUGGAAGGGCCAUCGCUCAACGGAUAAAAGGUACUCCGGGGAUAACAGGCUGAUACCGCCCAAGAGUUCAUAUCGACGGCGGUGUUUGGCACCUCGAUGUCGGCUCAUCACAUCCUGGGGCUGAAGUAGGUCCCAAGGGUAUGGCUGUUCGCCAUUUAAAGUGGUACGCGAGCUGGGUUUAGAACGUCGUGAGACAGUUCGGUCCCUAUCUGCCGUGGGCGUAGGAGAAUUGGUUGGGGCUGCUCCUAGUACGAGAGGACCGGAGUGGACGCACCACUGGUGUUCCGGUUGUGUCGCCAGACGCAUUGCCGGGUAGCUAAGUGCGGAAGAGAUAAGUGCUGAAAGCAUCUAAGCACGAAACUUGCCAAGAGAUGAGUUCUCCCAAUCAAAGAGAUUGUAAGGGUUGUUGUAGACUACGACGUAGAUAGGUCUGGUGUGUAAGUGUAGUGAUACAUUGAGCUAACAGAUACUAAUUGCCCGAGAGGCUUAACUA
rnacentral:rRNA from 1 species